CAGAAACUUAAAUGAAUGACGGGGCCGCACAAGCGGUGGAGCAUGUGGUUUAAUUCGAUGCAACGCGAAGAACCUUACCUACUCUUGACAUCCAGAGAACUUUCCAGAGAUGGAUUGGUGCCUUCGGGAACUCUGAGACAGGUGCUGCAUGGCUGUCGUCAGCUCGUGUUGUGAAAUGUUGGGUUAAGUCCCGCAACGAGCGCAACCCUUAUCCUUGUUUGCCAGCGAGUAAUGUCGGGAACUCCAGGGAGACUGCCGGUGAUAAACCGGAGGAAGGUGGGGACGACGUCAAGUCAUCAUGGCCCUUACGAGUAGGGCUACACACGUGCUACAAUGGCGCAUACAGAGGGCGGCCAACUUGCGAAAGUGAGCGAAUCCCAAAAAGUGCGUCGUAGUCCGGAUUGGAGUCUGCAACUCGACUCCAUGAAGUCGGAAUCGCUAGUAAUCGUGAAUCAGAAUGUCACGGUGAAUACGUUCCCGGGCCUU
rnacentral:rRNA from 1 species